GCGUUGGUGGUUCAAUGGUAGAAUGCUCGUUUCUCAAUCGAGUGUCCCGGGUUCCAUUCCUGGCCGAAGCU